GAUGGCAGGGGCCGGGGCCCAGCUGUCAGUCGCCGCCGCCGCGGCCCUUCCCCGCAGCUAGCGGCCCCGACGCCCACCCGGAGAAGAUGAGCCCCCGCUGCCCCCCGCAGCCCAGUCAGACGCGGAGCCGCCGCGCCCGGGGCCGGCUCCCCCGCUAGCGCCCGCGUCCCGCGCCCCGCCGCCGCCGCCGCCGCCGCCGGGUCGCCCCUGGCCCGGCGCGCCCGUCCCCGGCAGCGACAAUGAGGCCCCUCCAGCCAGCGUCAGGUGCAGAAUGGCCCCUCUCCUGAUGAGAUGGACAUCCAGAGAAGACAAGUGAUGGAGCAGCACCAGCAGCAGCGUCAGGAAUCUCUAGAAAGAAGAACCUCGGCCACAGGGCCCAUCCUCCCACCAGGACAUCCUUCAUCUGCAGCCAGCGCCCCCGUCUCAUGUAGUGGGCCUCCACCGCCCCCCCCACCCCCAGUCCCACCUCCACCCACUGGGGCUACCCCACCUCCCCCACCCCCACUGCCAGCCGGAGGAGCCCAGGGGUCCAGCCACGACGAGAGCUCCAUGUCAGGACUGGCCGCUGCCAUAGCUGGGGCCAAGCUGAGAAGAGUCCAACGGCCAUCAGGCAGGAGCUGAGUGGGAUCAGCACCACGUAAGGGGCCGGCCUCGCUGCGCUGAUUCGUCGAGCCCAUCCGGCGACAGAGGACAGCCAGAAGCCCAGCCAGCCCCAGACUCCAGUGCACCAGAGCACGCACAGGAGCCUGGGCGCGCUGCUGUGAAACGUCCUGACCUGUGAUCACACAUGACAGUGAGGAAACCAAGUGCAACUCCUGGGUUUUUUUAGAUUCUGCCUGACACGGAACACCAGGUCUGCUCGUCUUUUUUGUGUUUUAUAUUUGCUUAUUUAAGGUACAUUUCUUUGGGUUUCUAGAGACGCCCCUAAGUCACCUGCUUCAUUAGACGGUUUCCAGGUUUUCUCCCAGGUGACGCUGUUAGCGCCUCAGCUGGCGGUGACAGCCGGCCCAGCGUGGCGCCACCACACACCGCAGAGCUGUCCAGGCACAGCUCCGUCCCCAGCGCUCAUGGUGUUGAAACUGUCUGUCAUGCACCACGGUGUCUGUGUCCACACAGUAAUAAACGGUUUACUGUCCGC
rnacentral:lncRNA from 1 species